GACGGAGGAUGCAAGUGUUAUCCGGAAUCACUGGGCGUAAAGCGUCUGUAGGUGGUUUAAUAAGUCAACUGUUAAAUCUUGAGGCUCAACCCCAAAAUCGCAGUCGAAACUAUUAGGCUAGAGUAUAGUAGGGGUAAAGGGAAUUUCCAGUGGAGCGGUGAAAUGCGUAGAGAUUGGAAAGAACACCGAUGGCGAAGGCACUUUACUGGGCUAUUACUAACACUCAGAGACGAAAGCUAGGGUAGCAAAUGGG
rnacentral:rRNA from 1 species